rnacentral:rRNA from 1 species
CCUACGUGUGGCAGCAGUGAGGAAUAUUGGUCAAUGGGCGCGAGCCUGAACCAGCCAAGUAGCGUGAAGGAUGACUGCCCUACGGGUUGUAAACUUCUUUUAUAAAGGAAUAAAGUGAGGCUCGUGUGCCUUUUUGUAUGUACUUUAUGAAUAAGGAUCGGCUAACUCCGUGCCAGCAGCCGCGGUAAUACGGAGGAUCCGAGCGUUAUCCGGAUUUAUUGGGUUUAAAGGGAGCGUAGAUGGGUUGUUAAGUCAGUUGUGAAAGUUUGCGGCUCAACCCCGGCGAGACGUUGAAACUGGCUGUCUUGAGAUGUCGAGAGGUAUGCGGAAUGCGCAGUGUAGCGGUGAAAUGCUUAGAUAUUGCGCAGAACUCCGAUUGCGAAGGCAGCAUACCGGCGGCGAUCUGACGCUGAGGCACGAAAGCGUGGGUAUCGAACAGGAUUAGAUACCCUGGUAGUC